GAUGGAAGCAGCUGCCAUGGCUGCUGCUGUUUCCCCAGCGAGAUCAGAUCCAGGGCGGCUUGGAUCGAUCCUGUAAGCAGUUCUUGAAGUAGUCAUGUCCUCUGGUCUUUGCCAACAAUAAUGAUCUGUGGUCUGGACAGACAGUAUGUACAAAGUUAAAAGUAGGAAAAGGAGUUUGUAGCAGAAUAGUCACUGUUCCCAUUGGUCUAAAUUGAUUGACGUUUUGCCAACGAGGCCAUGUGGUAAAACUUCUAAUACGGCCAAAACUUAGAAAGGCUAAAGCAUCCAUGUAACUGUACGUGGACAUAGUUUAUUUAUUUGUCUAUGUCAAUGGGUACUUUAUAUCGUAAAUACAAAAAGACUAGGGAGUUCUACACUUGUCAA